ACACACACACACACAUGCUGAAUAUCAUAUCCAACUUUAUAUCUUUACAUGAUAUUUUUUCAGCCUCACAUAUAAUCUCUUUUUCUCAUUAUCUUCUCUAUUUCAGAACAUAUAAAGAUUACCUGCUAGUGAGCAAAGCCAAAGAAGUUUCCCCUUUGAAGCCAUGGCCUCUGAAUUUGAAUUUUUCUGACCCAGAACUGAAGGCAGGCAGAAAGCUGUGACAGUUGUUGAGCCUGCACAAAUGAGUGGAAUGUCAGACAGGUGCCACUUACAGGGAGAGUGCAGGAGGAGGAAAAGAACAUUUCAAAUCAAAGAUCGUCUUCGCUCGCUCUGCUUUCUCCACGGAGCCCACUGAGUGAGCUGGGUUCACACAGUCACUUAGUCAUCCGGUGUGCCGAUCAGUCAAGUGAACAUGCAGAUUGGCCGACGCCGACAGGAACAAAGGGAACAUCAGCGUACCGAAGCAACAGCACAGAAUGCACACGCCAGAUGGAGAAAACUAUUAAUUUAUCAAAUAUUUAUAAGAUGCAAAUGUGAAUAAAAAAAUGAUGGUGCCGUCCCCCAACACCUGUUUCCCUGCCGGCUUGCUGAGCUCUUGUUUAUCACCUGCCCCCCACCUGAACACCACGUGUCUCUGUGCAGUGAGACCUGCACUUCUUUUCCAGUAUACUCACCUGUUGACUCUUUGUCUUUCUGUCUGCGUGCCUUUUGGCCAGUCACUUCCCAUAUUUACCUCCCUGCUCCUUGCUUCCUGUCUCUUUGUUUCCCUCUUGUUUUCUUACCUUGCUUCCUCUAAUAUCAAAGGUUAGGACUUAAUUGGCUCUUAGUAUGCUAAUUACUGUCUGAGACUGUAGUUGCAUGGCUGUUUGGCUGUCACAAGAUUUUUAUGUCACAAUGAGGUGCUGCUCACCGUUUGAUUUUCGUUCUUCUGUUACAGUGCAGCUUUAAUAUUAUCAUGUUGUUCUUUCAGGGUGUCAUUUAUAUCACCGGGGUGAGACUAGAUGUUCAUACAUGAUGACUAGAUCUGGUUGGAAUAAUGUCUAAUAGGGUCUGCACACUGGGGAUGUGCUCUGUGGCUUCAGGACAGAAGGGCACACAGAAAGAGCAAGAGUUCAUUGUUUAUGUGUGAGGGUUCCCACUGCUGCCAACAGCUGACAGGAGGCCAAAACCUGCUGCCUCUUUUUCCUCUUUCUUUCCAGAACAAACAGAGCCAGCAUGAAAGCUUUUAAGUGGCACAAAAGGAGAUUUUAUUAGCAAUCGAUACAGAGCAUACAAAGAUCACAGAACUUUUUCUUUUAAUGGCUUGUUUGUUUUGAAGGGGAAGAAUCCACCUCAAAAUGUACAAUGCAUGGUGAUGAUUUUAUUCUUUGUUGGAGUAAAAGGCUGACUUUUAGAGACUGGGUGACUGUGAUGCAGUGAUGACCUUGACAUUUUCAUAUCUCAUGUUCAUGAUAAUAUUAAAUUGAUAGUUUGGGU